rnacentral:rRNA from 1 species
AGUGAACGCUGGCGGUAGGCCUAACACAUGCAAGUCGAACGGCAGCACAAUAAGAGCUUGCUCUUACGGGUGGCGAGUGGCGGACGGGUGAGGAAUACAUCGGAAUCUACUUUUUCGUGGGGGAUAACGUAGGGAAACUUACGCUAAUACCGCAUACGACCUACGGGUGAAAGCAGGGGAUCUUCGGACCUUGCGCGAUUGAAUGAGCCGGUGUCGGAUUAGCUAGUUGGCGGGGUAAAGGCCCACCAAGGCGACGAUCCGUAGCUGGUCUGAGAGGAUGAUCAGCCACACUGGAACUGAGACACGGUCCAGACUCCUACGGGAGGCAGCAGUGGGGAAUAUUGGACAAUGGGCGCAAGCCUGAUCCAGCCAUACCGCGUGGGUGAAGAAGGCCUUCGGGUUGUAAAGCCCUUUUGUUGGGAAAGAAAAGCAGCAGGUUAAUACCCCGCUGUUCUGACGGUACCCAAAGAAUAAGCACCGGCUAACUUCGUG